rnacentral:rRNA from 1 species
AAGUGUGGACGCCAGUCUGCAUGGAGCCGACCUUGAAAUACCACCCUUUAAUGUUUGAUGUUCUAACGUUGACCCGUAAUCCGGGUUGCGGACAGUGUCUGGUGGGUAGUUUGACUGGGGCGGUCUCCUCCUAAAGAGUAACGGAGGAGCACGAAGGUUGGCUAAUCCUGGUCGGACAUCAGGAGGUUAGUGCAAUGGCAUAAGCCAGCUUGACUGCGAGCGUGACGGCGCGAGCAGGUGCGAAAGCAGGUCAUAGUGAUCCGGUGGUUCUGAAUGGAAGGGCCAUCGCUCAACGGAUAAAAGGUACUCCGGGGAUAACAGGCUGAUACCGCCCAAGAGUUCAUAUCGACGGCGGUGUUUGGCACCUCGAUGUCGGCUCAUCACAUCCUGGGGCUGAAGUAGGUCCCAAGGGUAUGGCUGUUCGCCAUUUAAAGUGGUACGCGAGCUGGGUUUAGAACGUCGUGAGACAGUUCGGUCCCUAUCUGCCGUGGGCGCUGGAGAACUGAGGGGGGCUGCUCCUAGUACGAGAGGACCGGAGUGGACGCAUCACUGGUGUUCGGGUUGUCAUGCCAAUGGCACUGCCCGGUAGCUAAAUGCGGAAGAGAUAAGUGCUGAAAGCAUCUAAGCACGAAACUUGCCCCGAGAUGAGUUCUCCCUGACUCCUUGAGAGUCCUGAAGGAACGUUGAAGACGACGACGUUGAUAGGCCGGGUGUGUAAGCGCAGCGAUGCGUUGAGCUAACCGGUACUAAUGAACCGUGAGGCUUAACCUUACAACGCCGAAGCUGUU